rnacentral:rRNA from 1 species
AGUGAACGCUGGCGGUAGGCCUAACACAUGCAAGUCGAACGGCAGCACAGUAAGGGCUUGCUCUUACGGGUGGCGAGUGGCGGUCGGGUGAGGAAUACAUCGGAAUCUACUUUUUCGUGGGGGAUAACGUAGGGAAACUUACGAUAAUACCGCAUACGACCUACGGGUGAAAGCAGGGGAUCUUCGGACCUUGCGCGAUUGAAUGAGCAGAUGUCGGAUUAGCUAGUUGGCGGGGUAAAGGCGCACCAAGGCGGAAUGCCGUAGCUGGUCUGAGAGGUUGGUCAGCCACACUGGAACUGGAACACGGUCCAGACUCCUACGGGAGGCGGCAGUGGGGAAUAUUGGACAAUGGGCGCAAUCCUGAUCCAGCCAUACCGCGUGGUGGAAGAAGUCCUUCGGGUUGUAAAGCCCGUUUUUUGGGAAAGAAAAGCAGCAGGUUAAUACCCCGCUGUUCUGACGGUACCCAAAGAAUAAGCACCGGCUAACUUCGUG